GGUGCAUUUAGUUCUGGAGGGGAGGCCGGGGAAGCGGACUUAGAUGUCGAAAAAGGAGGAGGGUGGGAGUUAAGCGUUGGUAAAAAGGAGUGGAAAGAACUCAUGGGAGGGGGCGAGAGACCGAGGAACGGCCGAGGGGGCGCGGCGGGUUGUGGAGGGUCUCGAAGGACAUCGCGUGGUGGCCGCUUGCUCCUCGGUGCCUGCCGGUUCUUGUGCUUUCUAGACACUGCUAGGUCUUGUGUGAAGUAUGAUCUGUGCUGAACAGAUGUCUCUUUCUGUAAUCACCCCUGUUUGUGGACUUUCCCCGUGUCAAAUGCAAGGUAAGGCAGAGAGCUGUCUCUAAAGCUCCAAGUUAGCAAGAGAUUUGACUGUUGUGAAGUUCAUAAUAAAUUAGACUUUGGAAAAUAAUAGAAUAAGACUUAUGGAAAUAAUUAUACGUGUGCAUGUAAGUAGGGAGUAUAUUCUGUCCCCAGCUCUUGUCUCACUAUAUGUGAUUGACAGAGAUCACUCCCUUAUGUUGCCCAGACCUGGUAAAACUCCCAAAUGAGUCUUAGAGAGCUUCUUUGUCAGUAUUUUUAGUAUCAGAGGGACACUACCCUGCCAGGUGGCUGUGUUGGCCCUGGGGGUUGUGCUUCUCGCACCCUCCAAGUCGAGGGGCCUAUUCGGGGCUGGGGCUCCCCCAGGCUUUGGCCCUUGUCUGCGGGGAAGCCCAGACUGUCGUUUAGAAAGCAGGCUGUAUGCUUAGCCUGGCCUUAGUAGGAUGGGGGGGCUCAGCAAGGAGAAAGCUGGCAUGUGCCUUUGUCAUAGCCUGGGUGGCAGCCUCCCUUGCUGAUUUGGUGCUUUUCUAAGGAUUGUGGCUUUUGUGCAAUGUUUGGAAACUGCACUGAUAAUGUUUGGCUGUCACAGGGCUUAGUGGGACCAGCAGGAGAAGCUUUGCACUCUCCUCAAGGCAGCUGUUGUCAGUGGGUACAUAGGGACAUAAAUCAACCUUGAAAAAGAUGAGAGAAUGGAUGAAGUGGUAUCAAGCCUCUCAGCGUGGUAUGGGAGCAGCCAGGUUAACUUGUUGCUCUGUUUUUCGUUUGUGAUCGCUGCCAGGUGUUGGCAUGACUUAGCCAGCUGACUUCGUGCUGCCUGAGGUUCAGCAUUCCCUCUGGCUGGCUUCUAGGAGGUAGGCUAGAUUUUGAGCAGUGGGUUGUAGACUUUCCUGUACUGAACAUAAUCCCUGCUUGUGUCGGGGAAUGGGAAACAAUCCACUUAUCAUAUGGGAAAUUAUCCUUUCACUAAAUGGGAGAAUUAAAGCUCUGUUAGGGUUAAUGUGACCAGAGUUCUCUGAAAUAAUGUGUGGAAGAUCUGUGCUCAAAACUGUGAGGGAAGAAGCGCAAAUUAUUGCAUGGUUUGUGAAAUAACACUGUUUCUGUUUACAGCUGAUUCCUGUGAAAUAAAGUGCUUUAUUACUUGAAGAUGAUAUUCCACUGGCCAGAGUUGUGGAGAGUUUUGCAGGCUCGCUGGAAGUCUUGGCUAAACUCCAAUAGUGAUUUAGCUCAGGAAAAAUUGGGUUACAAGUUCUUAUUUCAUACUUUAGCUCCUCCUGGAGGUAAGUACAAUGCGUUUGAGGAUAUUGCAUCACAGUAACUGCGCAUAUUUAGCGUCUUUGCCCCAGGGAUACACUUGAAUGGUGGAGGAAUGGUGUCAUGAGAUGUUCUGUGAUGCACUUACUUAACCUAAUCCUUUCAGCCUUUCAAGAUGUGUUGAUACCACGUGAAUGUGCGCCAUUCUCCUGCUCUUUAAAUCCAACUCCAUCCAGUUAAAGAAUCUGAACCAGUUGUUUGCCUUCCUGUAAAAAGCCUGGUGUCCUGGGACGGGAGAUGCUUUCCCUCCCACUCCCAGCUUGUCCAGUUUUGCCAUAUUCAUUGCUGAGAAAAAGGAGUGGAGGGAAUGUAGUGCUCUGCUGUAAUUUUCAGUAAUAGUUGCACACAUCUCAAGAAUUGUAAAUUACAAGUACAGGCCCUUUUAUUUCUCUACUUCUGUUCCUUCUGUACACAGAUGCCUUUAGAUUAGGUGUGCUUCGGGUGAAAAAAUGGGCAGUGGCACAAUGGUUUGUAACAACAGCUGCCUACUGUAGACUUUAAGACUGUGUUUCUGUCUGUGCAGCUAAUGCCAAGUAAUGAUGGUGAGUAUUGCAGUAGGGUAAUGGGGGCUGGUUUGUCUUUUGUGUAACUGGCAGAAAAACGCAUGUGGAAUUUUCAUCCAAGACAGUCUGCUGACCUGAUGGCAGUGUGCUUUGUUUUUUAAGCUAGUUUAGAAACAAUGGGUUUCACCUGCAUUGAUUCCCUUCCUUCUUUCCCCCUUGUGUCAGUGCUGCUGCUCUGGGAGGAGACCAGGAUGCACCUUGCUUUACAGACAAUUUCAUUUCUUUGUUUGUACCAUACUUCUUUACAUGUAGAUGCCACGAAUCUCUCAGCUAAGAGUUGCUAUAGCUGUUUGAAAUAUAGAAAAAAGGAGUUCACUUCAGAAACUACCCAACUGAAUACCUGAUGCAGGAGAUAAGUGAAAGUUUUCUCUGUGUGUGGUUCAUUUCCAUUGGUUUGGGGAUGCCCUGGUAAUUGUCAGUGAGUAUGGAUUAUACUGACUAAUCAUAGCUUGUUGGAGUUAUGAACUUGUCUCAAACUUGGAUACUCUGCUCACCUGAAAGAGCUGAUGUUCAAGUCUCUCCCAACAGGCCUUAUCUCCAAGGCUGACAAGAAGCUAACAGUCGUAUUGCAGAAUUAAGUUUUGUUGUAGCAUUUCGUAUGAAAAGACAUAAGGCGAUGCUAUAACAGAAAGCCUGCCUUUAGCAUUUCUUGGAUACAUGAAGGAAAGUGUCUGUAAGGUCCUGAGCCUAUGAAGCCAAUACGUUUGUCCAUACUUGGACUACUGUGCUGAUAUGCCGCCUUGCAGAAACAAUAGGUUGUCUUUGUUAUUGAAGCGAUUUUCCUCACCGUGGACUUAGGUAAGCAACCACACAGUGUCCUGAAGACUAGGAGAAGCAAUUGGAUAACCCUGCAGGAGGGACAUGGAAAAUGAGAAUAAGUAGGAACGUGUGAUGCUUUGCUCAAGGAAGAAAUUGUUUUAUCUAAGUUUGUGUGUAGAAACCUGGCUUUGUAUCUCGGCUUUCAUUCUGACAGGUUCUUAAUGAAAACUUCAAGGAGUUGGAUGCUCAAAAUUGAUCCUUCACUGGGUGGUGUAUCAAAACCAGUGUGCAGUCUGCAUGAGAAAUACAUAUAUUUACAAGGUUUGAGUGUCCAAAUAUGUUCUGUGAUAACAUAAGGUAUCUGGUGUUCUGCUGUCCUAGUGUCACCAUCUAUAUUCGCACAGCAACACAGAGAACCAGCAGGAUGUUGGAGCUGUCCAAGUUCUUCAAAAUAAUUGUCAGUCCUUAAGUGUAUGCAAAUUAGCUGGAUGAAAAGAUUUUCAGGUGCACUGAAACGGUGACUGAUAGGAUCUGUGCUCCUCUUGGUGUGUAAGUUUUGAGUUGAAAUCGCAUUUUAUUAAUUAUCUGAACUAUAAAAUGUGGUCGUCUCCAGACCCUUUGCAGAAGGGAGGAGAGUGUAAGUGUCACUGCCCAACUGCUCACUUGAAAGCCUGUGGGGGAAGGGUGUAAACUCUUUUAACAUCAAAGUUACUGCUCAGAUUCUGGAGGCUGAAGAAGCUGCUGUGGAGGUUUUUUAUUUGUAAUUAAUCUCCCAUGGACCUAAUUUCAAAAGAGUGGAGCUGCAGGUUGAAAGGUGAGUGAAUUCAGUUAGGUGGAAUAGGUAAGGAAUUUUAUAUCAUGUUAAUGUUCCCAAGUAUCUUAAUACAGAAAAUCACAUUGCUCUGUUCUUAAACAGGGGGAACUUGGAAAAAAACACAGGUAAGAUUGGAAGGCUUCUGACUUUUCUUAAGUGUUCCUGGUGAAGUUGUGGGGAGGCAGCUGUUAAACCAGUUCUGGAAGAACUUGCUAUUGCUGCAUAGCCAAAAAACCUUGUAAGCGUCUGAAAAUAAUUGUGACUAAUUAUAAAGUGUUACCUUUUUUUUUCUAUCUUUCAGCAGAAGAGUGCUCUAAGCAGUCAGGAACCUCUUCAGGUAGCACGGGCAUGUUCUUCAACUGAAAGAGACAGCAGGAAAGAGUGUGCACGCAGCUGUGGGUCUCUGGGUUCACAAGGACAGGGUUCUGAAGGAACUCGGGAGAGAAAAAACACUUCAAGUUUGCUCCACAACUUUUAAGUCCCUUAAAUUUAAAUGAGAACCCAUCUAAUACUGAAACAGGAAGUUAUUUUAUCCCCUACUGGAGAAGGGGGUGGGAAUAGGGAACUGUAAAGUGCUUGGUCAGGAUGCUGUGAUCCUUGGGAAAACUACAGGUGACUCAAGUAUGAGAGACUCCAGUUGUGAGAAACAUGCUUUUGGGAACACACACUACCACUGCGGGGAAACUAGGGAAACAGAGGAGCGUUAGGAGUAUGCUCUGCAGGUGUUUCUUGCCUACAUAAGGAUGGAUCUCUGCAGGUGGAUGGCCUCAGAUGACCACUGAAAAAUGUAGGGUUGUAGGCAGACAUUUCUCUGGAAAGCAUAUAUGCAGCUAUCCUGAACCACCCGGACAGAUUCAGUCUUCAUCAAAGAGUAUUUCUGGUCUAAAAAUAGCUGUGCUUAGUCCACCUAAAUCUGCAGAGUGUCCUGGCCAAUUGCAGCACUGCACUGAAGAGAAACAGCCUUCUGUGGGACCAAACACGACUCAGAUGGGCUUCAGUGCUGAGUAUAAAUUGCUUGGUUUCCUGUGGUCUAGCUGUAAUAUAUGCGAUGGACGCUCCUGAGCACUUCCAUGUGGAGCAAGGAAACAUGGGCUAGACGGGUUCAGAUGUAUUGUGUGUGUGUGUAGUGCCCUCUUCAGCACAAAACGUGAUAAAACCCUGUAUCGGAAAAGGCAGGUCCGGGUAUUCCACUGUGAUUACGCUGUGUGUGUGACCUCACUUGUGUCACCAAGCAUGGAAAAACCUAUUUUUACUGUGUGGUCAUUCAGCUGAUCACUGCGUCUGAGCCAGAUGUAGUCCAUAAGCUGACAAAUCCGUAAGUGUGGUACUAGCUUCUGCUCCCCAAAAAAGUGGAGACGCAGCAGGAUCACUGACCUGGAUCCCUGAUUAUACAUGCUGGUGGGCUCCAGAGCUACAUGGAUGCAUUGGUGCUAAUUGUACGUUGCUUCCUAUAUGAUUCAGGUUAAAAUAUAGGCUUUGGCAGUAUGAGUACCUAAACAAUAGUACUGCAGUUGGAGCAUUCCUUAAUGCACACAAACCAUUUCCUUUGGGUAAGUAAGACACUGUGAAGAAGCACUCAGCUGGGGGAGAGCAUCAUUUGAUAGUGUCUCUGGUGCCAGAAUUCCCUGGGUUUGAUCCUCUUCCUUGCCUUGGACUGCUUUUUACCCAAAAUUUCAGCUUUUCUGUACAUUAGUGCUUGUUGGCUGUUUUCCACUAUUUUUGGGUUUGGUUGGGGUUUUUUUCAGUUUCUCCACAAAUACCUCUUCCUGGAAAAGUGGGAAGAACAGUAAGUAUCUCAGGCUCCUGGCCAAGUUUCCACUCACAUGGUUUCACUUGCUCCAUUCUGUCAAGUUAUUUACAUGCAGUGUCCUAAGGAUAUAAUUGAGUGCCUGCUGAUAAGCAGCUAACCUUUAUGUCUUGGCCAUGGUCUGUGUUGGUUAGGUUUACACCAUCUGCUUCCUCCUGGUGAAUUCAGUGGCUGCUCUUGGCAGCCCUCACUUUCCUGUUGCACAAGUUCAUGAAGGAGAUAGUGUUAUACCAUUCUUGCAAAGACUUUAGAAAGGACGCCCUAGGAAUGAUCACUUUACUUGCAGGUCUGUAUGACUCUAUCUCCUCUGAACCUUGCUUUUCUGUGUACACACAAGCCCUGGGUUUCUCAGGGCGAGAAGAAUAUGUUUGGCAUGUAACGAGUCUGACAGGGUUGAAUAUAGGAGAGGUUUCUCAGCAUAGAGGUGUGAAGCUGACUCUUUUAAGGUACCUUGCUGAAAGAGACAUUGUUUUAUCCUCAGGUUCCAAAUUCAUCCAUAUCAGAGUUGGUUUGUAUCCAGUAGAGACUUUUGGGGCAUGGAUUCCCAGGACGCAUAUUUCCUUACUGCACUGCUUUGAGCUCCCAGAAAAUGCAGUCAUGCAAGCUUUGGUGGCAUUGCUGGUAGACAGAAGGUUAUCUCUUGCCCCUUGCCCUCCUGUGCCACAGUGCAUCAUUCCCUUGUGCCAACAAAACUAUGGGAGUGGCACUGAGCUAUCAGCGCUUUAAUCAGCGCACUAUGCAUGCUCUCUGCCCUGUGUAUGCUUUUCUGUGGCUCCUGGUGAAUGUGGAGGAAGCUUGUAGUUGUGCAGCUUUCUAACACCAGGAUCAGGUUAGCGAGCUGGUUUAGAGCACUUGCACUGUCGCAGUAAAAAUAGGUGGCGAGGUGCACAGCAGAAGUCAAAAGUCCUUGGGCUUGUUGCUGAAGCCUCCUGACUCAUUGAAGUGUCCAUUUAAGGACGAAGUUGAUUCUGUGUGGGAGGAGCAGCAGCUUGUCCCUUGUGUGCAUGAAUGCUUUUGCUAACUGUUUUUCUGCUUUAGGUCUCAUGACCCAGCCAAAUGUUUUGCUGCGUGCAGGCUUCUGACUAGGCAGUGGCAGUGGUGGAAAGCCAAAUGUCUGUAAGCAGCACUGGUGAUUGCUCUAUGUACUCCGACAAAUCCAAGUGGGAGAGGAGAGUUAGAGUAUGAUGUGGAGCAGUUUACCCCUAAAUUCUGCCUUUUAUCACUGUUAUAGAGGGUACAGAUUUGUUAUCUUACAAUGAAAGUGGUUUCUUAUGCGUAGGCAGUUGUAUGUUACCCCUGUACAUCUUUAAUGGCAGAGUAGAUCUGCUAAAAGAGCACUAAAACAUUUCACACAGGACAGAUGAAAAGACUACUCUGUUUUCCACGUCAGUGUUUUUGCAGCGCUCCUGGUAUGAGUGAAGUCAGCUUUGCCACCACGGACUCUUACAAUGCAAGUAUGAAUCACUGCCUCCGUUCUAUUAGCAGUGAAUACUGUCCUCAGUGAGGAUAAUCUGGUGUUAGUCGUUUUGAAGUGAUGCGUGGUGGCUUCACUCUACUUGCUCUGCUUUAGCUAAUAAUAACUAAAGUAGUAAUUGUGUCCCCUGAGAGUUAGAUUGUUGCUGCUGUUAACCUUUCUGGGAAAACAAAUGAGAAGUAGAGACAGAUGCAAACCUGGUGAAUCAGAAGGAGGGUGUUGCCCAGCCCAGGAGCCUUGUAGUUCACUGGGGAUGACGAGGGGCAUGCGAUACUGGCUCCUGUCUCUGGUCCAUUUAGCCUCCUGCAAAUUCCUGCCCACUGAAAGCUCCCCUCAUCUCCAGGGCAGGUUGUGACUGGAGCCACUGCUGUCCCAGUGCUACCUCCUGGAAACAAAGAAGGAAAGAGUUUAUUUUCAUAGGCACUCCAGUCCAAUAAAAAUAAACAAAUUGGCCUACUCUUAAUUAUAAACAAAUAAAUACAUUUAAUUUAUAAAUUAAUAAUUUAGAAAUAUUGACUCAUAGAGUAGAUUGGGUUGGAAGGGACCUUAAGGAUCAUCCAGUUCAACCUCCCCCUGCCGUGGACAGGGACACCUUCCACUGGAUCAGGUUGCUCAAAGCUUCAUUCAACCUGGUCUUGAACACCUCCGGAGAUGGGACAUCUACAACUUCUAAAUAUUCAUAUCUAUUCUAAAUAUUUUUAUAGCGUAAAUGUAUUAAUAAAUACAUACCUGCAAAUAGAUUAAUAUAUGUAUAUAAAUGUAUAACUUUUUAAUACAUUUAUAUAUUACAUGUAAACAUAUUACAAGAUAUAGUGUAAAAUUAUAAGAUAUAAAUUGGUAAGCCAGAGGAAUCACAUUAAAAUAGAGGAGCUCUGUGUUGCCAACAGACUCCUGGGAUGGAGUAGCUUUUUUUUUUCUCCUGAGAACAGGCUGAACGUGACAGUCUGGUCCCCAACAAAUGCAGUCUGUGUGAAUCAUCUGGUUGUGUUACAAUUUCUAAUUGUGCCUGUUUUAAAGUCUCAUCCUAGAGAAGGUUGUUUGGCUGUGGUUUAACUUUGUCAUGAGUAUGGAUGCAUGUGAUGUGCUUGGCUCUGGGAGGUCUCUCAUGAGUUUCUGUCAACACGGCAGUGUUGCAGCUCUCCAGAAUGGGUAACAUUGCUGUCCCUUAUUCUGAGUGCAGCCCCAUUCCCAUGGGUUUGACAGUAUCUCACAUAUCCCAGCCAUCCACUACAGUCAGUUCUCCCUUAUCUGAAAGUAAAUUUAGGUACAGAUCCUGCAGGCAAGAUUCAGGGUUUGGCAUAUGCCUGCCUUUUUGUGAUAAUGCACUUGUGCUCUCUGGUAUGGGUGGAACUGCCUCCUGGGAACAGGCGAUUUCCAGUCUUGCUCCUCCCAGAGGAAACACACACUUGGUUUUUCCCUGUUCUGUGGUAGUGCUUUAUGUGCACAGCCUCCAUGUAAUGUUUACCACUGUGGGGUGCAGAAGGAUGGCUACCCCAGUCUUCCCUAAAUUUGCUGCUUAGCAGUCAGUGACAUUACAGGGAACACAAGGCAUCAUUUUCCUCAUGUACUGCCCACAAAUGGCACUUGGUAAUGGAGGUGUUAAGGAAGGCUUUGUGCCAGCAUACAGGUUUUACACACUUUGGGUUUUUUCCUUUUCUGUGCCAUCUCCCUGUCACACAUGUAGAACCUCACACUUGGUUUUUGAUUAGCAAGUUAUGUCCUGAUGUGUGUGACAAGCCUUAGGAUAAUUCUCCAUUUGUUCAGCUGUGUGGAGGUGGUGAUAGUGGUGGCUGCAAAUUUCCAGCUUUUGCAUCCCAUCACUAGGAAGAGGAUACCUUAGAGGAAAAAGCCCUCAUUACCUUCCUGUCUAUUGGCAUAUCCCAAACAGCUCCGAGCUGGUGCUAGGGCUCUGACCAGCUGCCGCCUCUCCACCCGCCCCCUGCCCUGAGUGGUUGAACAGCAGCACCCUAUGAAUUCAUGGAGGUGAGGGAACACCCAUCUGAAGAGGGGCUGUCUUCUGCCUCUUCCCUUUCUGUUCCCAUGGCUUUUAUGUCCCCCUUCAUGAAGCUUGUUUCCAUUCUUGUUUGAAAAAAUCAGCUCUGAUAUUGCUCUUUAGUGCAUGCAGUUGGGAUACAAGAGGCCAGGAUGUGUCUUCGCAUGCCAUCAUCUGAAGUUUUUUCAUGCCUGACACUGGAAAAAAGCUGCUGGUCCUUUCAUAGUUGGUAACAAAGAAGACAUGAAUGUGGAUGAGGUCCAGGAAAUACCUUCGUAGAGUCUUGUGUGUGACCUCUGCUAAAUUUGACAAAGCACUUUAUAUCCCUUUUUAGUGACACUGUGAUCAAGUGUUCUUCCAUAGCCCUGUCAUGAUAAUCUUGCAUUAAGAUUUUGAAAUCCUUUGCUAAGUGAGAAGGCUCUGAUGAGCUCACAACGUGUUGGUGGCUCUAUACUUUUUUUCAAGGGUCCUACUGAGCAGGUUGUGAUGGAGAGAAGGUGCUUGACCCAUUUCCUUUUCAGUACAUGUUUCAGCUCAGUAAGCUCCAGGGAAUCAUAGAAUCACAGAAGAGUUUGGGUUGGAGGGGACCUUAAAUAUCAUCUAGUUUGACACAUCAGGCUGCACAGGGCCCCAUCCAACCCGACCUUUAACACCUCCAGGGAUGGGGCAGCCACAACUUCCCUGGGUUGCAACCUGUGCCAGUGCCUCACCACUCUCAUAGUGAAGAAAUUCUUCCUAAUGUCUUGUCUAAAUCUGCCCUUCUCCAGUUUAUACCCAUUGUCCCUAGUCCUAUCACUAGAAGCCUUUGUAAAUAGUCCGUCCCCAGCUUUCUUGUAGGCCCCCUUCAGGUACUAGAAGGUUGCUGUAAGGUCUCUGAGCCUUCUCUAGGCUGAACAAGCCCAACUCUUUCAGCCUAUCCUCGUAGGGAAGGUGCUCCAGCCCUCUGAUCAUCCUUGUAGCCCUUCUCUGGACCCAUUCCAACAGUUCCAUAUCCUCCUUAUGUAGAGGAUUCCAGAACUAGACACAGUUCUCUGAAUUAAGUCUCACAAGAGAGGAAUAGAGAGGCAGAAUCACCUCCCUCGACCUGAUGAUCACACUUCUUUUGAUGCAGCCCAGGAUACAGCUGACCUGAGCUGCGAGAGCACAUUGCUGGCUCACAUUGAGCUUCUCAUCCACCAGCACCCUGAAGUCCUUCCCUGCAGGGCUGCUCUCAAUCACAUCACCCCCAUCACGUACUGAAAUCGGGGAUUGCCCCAGCCCAGGUGUAGGCCCUUGCACUUGUCCUUGUUGAACCUCAUGAGAUUUUCACUUCUCUAGCCUGUCCAGGUCCCCCUGGAUGACAUCCCGUCCUUCUGGUGUGCCAACUGCACCACUCAGCUUGAUGUCAUCUGCAAUCUUGCUGAGGGUGCACUCUCACUGUCUGUAUCAUUGAUGAAGAUACUAAUGAGCACCGGUCCUGGUAUGGAUCUCUAAGGGACCCUCAUCACAGACCUCCUUCUGGACAUUGAGCCAUUGACCACUACUCUCUGAAUACAACCAUCCAACCAGUUUCUUGUUCACCACACAGUCCACCCAUCAAAUCCAUAUCUCUCCAAUUUAGAGAGGGAUGUUGUGGAGGACCGUGUUAAAGGCUUUACAGAAGUCCAGCUAGAUCACUUUCAUUGGUUUUCCUGUGUCCACUGCUGUAGUUACCCUAUCAUAGAAAGCCACCAAGUUGGUCAGACAGCACUUGCCCGUGGUGAAGCCAUGCUGGCUGCCAUUAAUCACCUCCCUGUCCAUGACCUCUGGCACAGAAGUGAGGCUGACAGGUUGGUAGUUCCCAGGUUUGUCUUUUCUACCCUUUUUAAAAACAGGUACAAUGUUACCCUUCUUCCAGUCACCAGGGGCUUCUCCUGACUGCUAUGACUUUUCAAAUAUCAUGGAGAGUGGCUUGGCAACCGCAUCUGCCAGUUCCCUCAGGACUCUGAGAUGCAUCUCAUCAGGUCCCAUAGACUUAUAAAUGUUUGGGUUUUCCUCAGGUGUUCACGAACCUGAUCCUCCUCUAUUGUGGGAGGGGGUUUACUCCCCUGGUCAUCAUCUUCUUAUCCCUACAUCUUCUGUGUAACUUACAGCCGGUUACAUUUCUCAGUUUUGUACAAAUACGACUGGUUUUAUACAAAGGCAUAGAAUCAUGGAAUGGUUUGGUUUGGAAUGGACCUUAAAGAUCAUCCAGUUCCAACCCCAUGCUGGGACACAUUCCACUGAAUCACGUUGCUGAAGGCCUCAUCCAACCUGGCCCUAAACAUCUUCAGGGAUGGGGUAUCCAUGGCUUCUCUGGACAACCUGUUUGUAACAAUAUAAAUGACAUUCUUUAGUAGGUAUUUUUUUCAUGCUUUAUAUUUGUUGCAUGUAUCCACAGCAGUUAAGUCAGUAGUAUUAUCAAUAAAUGUUUAAAUUGAGUAUUAAACCAUAAGAGUUCUUGAGAUCAAACUUCAGAAGACCUGGGUCCUCUCCUGGUACAUUAAGCUGGCAAAUCAUUUACCCUUCAGGACCAUAUUUUGCAGUGAAGGUCAUCUGUUUGUGUGUCUGGCUGAUGUUGCUCUGCUUCAGCAUCUUUUUCUCUGAGGCAUAAUCCGGUUCCCAUUGAAUCUUUGGUGGGUUGGUGGUGAAAUGACACUUAAAAGUUAAAUGAGAAGUGUUCUUUCUGUGCCAAGUGUCUUAUUUUUUUAACAUCUGUAUUUUAAAAAUUUAAAGUAGCACCUUUGAUUUCCUAAACUGGUGAUGUGUGAUGAUAAAUAGAUCUCAAUAACCAGUUGCCUCCAAUUCCUCAAAUUCAUAAGGGUCAUUUUGCAGACAGCCAGUGAAGAUGAAGAACCAUGGUACUGCUGGAAACCAACCAGUCAUCACUCAAAUACAAUAGUGCAAAAACCUGUCAGCAGGCUGAACAAAUUUAGCUCUUCUUACAGUCUUACACCUACAGUGUUCUGUCUAAAAACUAUUAUCCCUUGGAAAACUAGUUGACAACGUUGUAAAGAGAAGAUUCAAAUACUUAAUAGUACCUCUAUAGGGUUCCUCCUAUUUUAAUGCACUUAUAAAUGUAGCUGACUCGCACUUUAAUAAAAAUAUUGGGAGCCAUCUGCAGAUAAAAAGUAACCUAUUGAACCUUCUUCUAGUAUUAUUUUUAACUCAUCCAUUUUCAUAGCCAAUUUGUGGCACCACUAAAUAUGUUCACAUUUCCAAGUCCAAGACAGAAAAAUGCCUUUCUGUUGUUUCUAAAGAAAUAAAAUUAUGACAGGAGCCCUGAUUUUCAAAACAGGUACAUUAAAUUUGCAUUUUGUGUUUAAUAAAAUUAAUGCAUGUGCUUGUUUAUAAAGUUGAUGUUCAGGCAGGGUUUGUAGUUUACUAGCCCAGUUGUUUUGCUUACAGAGUAACAAAGAGGAAAAUGGAUCACAUUAGCAGCCAUACAUCUUUCUCUUCUUACCUUCUUCCCCAUCACAGGCUCUCCUAGGACUGUGGCUUUAAGUUUAAAGCUGGGCUAGAUGCAGGAAUGAGGGAGUGGCAGCAUUCCUCUCCUGCAAAAACCCAGCACCCUGUGAUGCCAGCGGGCAGAAAAACGGUCUCUGUCCCUCUGUCUCCAAAGCUCCCUGCCACUCAGGUGGCACCUCUGAAGAGUAGCCAAAUACUGCGCGAGGCUGCAAAAUGCAUAUCAGAGGUGUGGAUCCCUGCUAGCUUUGAAACUGGAGAUGCUGCUGCUCUAGUUGCUCGUCGGCUGUACUUGUGGGUCUCUACCAGCAGAGGGUGGCUCUAAGACCGUUCAUGCCUUGCUUUAAUGUUUAAAUACGUCGCAGGCAGAAUAUUGAGCAUGAUGGUCUUAGUGUUUCCUUUAUCUCCUAAUCCUCCAUUUAUCUUUACUUAAUAAUUAUGAGAAAUUAAGUAUUUAGCAAAGAUUUUCAUUUGAGCUUUUCCUCACUCCUUAUUUGCUUUGACAUUAUUCUGCCACAUGAGAAUAACCAAACGAUUAAAUUUAGGAAGACAGUUUUAAGAUAAUGUUGCUAUUGAUUGGGAACUACUUCAGUUGAGGACCAAAGCAUUUGAAAGAGAUCACUCUCUGAAUAAGUUGUCAGUGUUCUGGCACUUAUUAGGGACAGAAACUUUAGACGCUACUAGGGGGUGGAAUUAAUUUCAGGCAUUGGAACAGAUGCCCAGUCUAUGCUCAGGCUUUCCUUACAGUCUGCAGAGAGGACUGGAUGUGUCCCAAAGAUGAUCUUUCCAAUGCCUUUUACUCUAAUUUAGGAGCCUAAGUUUACAGAAUGCAAGCUAGCAGGAGUCUGAUCCUAAACAUCAUUUGUUCAUGUAUAAUUAUUCUCACAUGGACUCCCACUAUGUGCGACAGGUAAUGACUAGACAGUUAAUUAUGUGAGUAUUUCGCAGCACUGGGCUCAAUUCUCAUGCUUGUGUUACAGGGAGACUAAUUUGUCUCUUGAGAUUUCUGUUCCUUUCUGUUGACUACAGAGGAAGCAGAGGUCAGACUGGCUCACAGUUAGAACUCAUAGCUGGCGUACAUCUCACCCAUGCUGCCUACAGGCUGGUGUUACUAAUAUUGGGUACUGCUCUGCCUCAUCUUUAAACAUCUCUAGACAAUAAAUUUUACAGAUCUGAUUUCACAUCCAAAUGGCAUAAAGUUUAAAGUAACUGUUAAAGUGACAGUUACUUAUGUAAUUAGUAGGUAGUCAUUAACUUUUCCAAAACUAGUGGAAUUCCACAUGGGGACAAAUGCACAAGUGUAAACAAUUUGGGGUGUUGUUGACUGGAACUCUAUUAGGAAUAAUAAAAGGUAGCAGUAAGUAACGAUGGAAAAUUUAUCAUGUUCUGAUACAUAUGUAAGUUCUACGUUUCUAAGUAGUUCUAAAAUGGUUGAACAGAAUUUCUGUCCUUGAUUUCCAUUUGUUUACCGCUCAGAAUCUAAGUUUUCAAAACUUAAUUUCUUUCUCAAGUUCUUUAAUUAAAAAAAACCUGAGUAUUUGCAGUCUUCAUUCUGAACUCUUUCAGAAGUAUAACACAGAUCAUAGAAUCAUGGUAUGGUUUGGGUCGGAAGGGACCAUAAAGAUCAUCCGGUUCUAACCCCUCUGCCAUGGGCAGGGACACCUUCCGCUGGCUUAGGUUGCUUAAAGCCCUAACCAACCUGGUCUUGAACACCUUGAUGAUGUCGUAGUAUCAUCUAGAUGAGGCCUUAGUAUCUACUAUGGCUGGGAAGAUUCCUCUCUGCUUGCAGAAAUAAAGCAAACUAGUGACCAAAUCAAGCAAAAGAUUGAAGAGGCAGCUUCCAUCAUGGCUACAAACAGUAGGUAACCUCUGGCCUUCCCUACCACAAAACACAGGCAAUAUCGAACAUGCGUGAGUAGGAUUCACUCUUCCUCUUCUGCAGAGAUCAAGCCUUUUGAAUCAGUUUCCAAAACUCUGUCCAUGGUGCAAGAAGGGUGUUGCAGAGAAAUGCCAUGAGAAUGAUUAAGAGAUUAGAGGAACAGGAUCAGGAGCAUAAGAGACAGAGGAAAGAAGCGGGAACAAGUCAGAUGACAUCAAUGGAGAAAGCGAACCAACAUCUUCCCAGGUUUGAAAUGUAUCAUAGAACAAUAGAGUCGUUAACGUUGGAAAAGACCUCUAAGAUCACCAAGUCCAACCAAGAAUUAAGAGUUGCUGAGGCACAGAAUUUUGCAAAAUCUUUGACAAAUAUGCAGUAUGGAUGCAGCAUGGUGUAUUUCCUUGUGGAACGUUUUAAUGGCAUGCUUGGCUUUCAUGAAGUCAAGAAGAGGCAGCUGAGGUGGGACCUUAAUUGCUCUCUACAACUACCAGAAAGGAGGUUGUAGUGAUGCGGAUUGUGGUCUCUUCCCCAAGUAACAAGUUAUAGGAUAAGAGGAAAUGGCCUCAAGUUACACCAGGGAGAUUUAGGCUGGAUAUUGGGAAAAAUUUCUUUACUGAAAGAGUAGCUGCCCAGAGAAGUAGUGGAGUCUCCUUCCCGAGAGGUGUUAAAAAAAAAGGUGUAGAUGUGGCACUUCUGGACAUGGUUUAGUAGGCACAGUGGUGUUGGGCUAACGGUCAGACUGGAUGAGCUUAGAGGUCUUUUCCAACUUUAAUGAUUUUAUGAUCUUACUUUCUUAGUGCAGAGACUUGCCACCACUUACUUGAUUUGCAUGAACUUUCUGCCAAAAUCACAAGGAAGGAAUUGACAGGAUGGAAUUUAGCAACAGGGAAAUUGUGACAUAUUUUAAGAGAGUGCAUGCUCAGAAAAGGGGCUACUUCUGCAGCAUCUUGUCAGCAGAACAAGCUCUAUUCUUUCCCACAGAUGUCUUGUCUCUGCCUUGCCGCAGUGCUAAGAUGAUAUUUUGUAUUGUGAGAAGCCAAGGAGAAGAGAUUUACUACAACAAGAACAUCUAUGUACAUGCUAUUUAAACUCUAAACUCUAGUCAUUCUAUUGAGUUGAACUAAGACAAGCAUUAAAACCAGCAGGGACUGUAAUAAUUAGAAGCCUUUGCAGUUAUUACAGGGUUUGUUUUUCUACUGAAUCAACACAUGCUGCAGCUUCUGUGAUGAAGGAAGCACAUAUUGGCACAACAGCACACAAAAAUAUCAUCCCUUUUCCUGCAGAUGGGUCAGGAUGGCUCAGGCCAGACACAUCAGUCUUCCAAGGCAACUCAACGGUGCAGAACUUGAAUGUAUGAAGAAUGCCAUUUUGUUAAUACAUAGAUCAAUCUUAAAGCAGAGCAGAUGCUAAGCAUCUAAUAGACUGAGGGUAUUGUUCAGAAAUCUAACUGAACACAAGGAGCCAGAAGUCCAAAAACUGGCUUAAAGCAAUGAUGAAUAGAAUCAAAGAAUCCCAGAAACGGUUUGGGUUAGAAGAGACCUUAAAGAUCAUUCCACUCUCACUCCUCUGCCAUGGACAAGGACAGCUUCCACUGGAUCAGGUUGCUGAAAGCCUCAUCCAACCUGGCCUUGCACACCUCCAGGGAUGGCGCAUCCACGACUUGGCUGGGUAACCUGUGCCACUGCCUCACAACCCUCACAGGAAAAAAACUACUUCCUAAUGUCUAAUCUAAAGUUACCCUCUUUCAGCUUCUCUCCUUCUUCUCAGUCUUCCCUGAAACACUACAACCAAAAUUAAUAGUGCACCAUAUCUUCCUAAGCCUGACUGUUCACUCAAAUGAAGAGAAGAACAUGGGAGACUUUUAAAAUGCCUUAAUUGUUUAACCUUGAGUGGAAUUUGUUCUUAUAAAAUGCCAAACAGCCAUGUAUUUUUCAGGUCAAAAGCUCACAAGAUGAGCUGUGAGGUCUUAUUCUUCUUUGCCUUUACGAUAAAAAUCUGGAUGGCUUUAAAAAUGCUGAGAACAUGACAGUGGCUGACAAGAAAAGCAGAGAUAUGUGCUGUAGACAUUUUAUCUGUUUUUAUGAAACAAUAUUGAUGCAGGCGUAGGUCUUGCAUUUGCAAUCUCAGCCAGAAGCCAGGGCUGUUUUCUAAUCCCAGAGCCUUAUGCAUUCUGCUUUUCACCCUUAUGGAAGACCACCCAAUUUGGUAAUAUCCCAGAGUGACUUUAAGGAGACAGAUCCUAAGAAAUUAAACAGUUGCCUCAAGUUUUUAUUUUUAACUUUUUCUCAGUGGAAUUACAUCUUAUUUUGAGUGUGUGUGUGCAGCACAUGCAUAAGGCUGCUUCCACCAUUUUUAUCACUGGAUCUAUGCGCAAGUGGAUCCCCAAGCAUCUGGGUUUGGUUCCAGUUAGGAGUGGAGUGGGGAGGUGACCUCAUUUCCAUUGAAUUAUGAAGUAUCUAUGGUAUGGAGUUGCCACAAGUUUUAUAACAGCUGGAAGCUGAUAGCUGAUCUGACCUAGAAUCAUAGAAUAUUUUGGGUUGGAAGUGACCUUUACAGUUCAUACAGCUCAGCCACCCUGCAGAAGCAAGGACACCUUCCACUGGAUCAGGUUGCUCAGAGGCCCAUCCAACCUGACUUUGAAUGUUUCCAGGGAUGGGGCCUCCACUGCUUCCCUGAGCAACCUGUUCCAGUGUUUCACCACCAUAACUGUAAAAAAUUUCUUCUUUAUAUCCAGUCUAAAUCUACUCUCCCUCACUUUAAAACCAAUAUUCCUUGUCCUGUCUCAACAGGCCUUGCUGAAAAGUCCGUCCUCAUCUUUCCUGUAGGCCCCCUUUAAGUACUGGAAGGCUGCUAUAAGGUCUCCCAGGAACCUUCUCUUCUCCAGGCUGAAAAAGCCCAGCUCUCAGCUAGUCCUCAUAUGGGAGGUGCUCCAGCCCUCAAAUCAUCUCUAUGGCCUCCUCUGAACCCGCUCCAACAGCUCCAUGUCCUUCCUGUGCUGUGGGCUCCAGAGCUGGAUGCAGAACUCCAGGUGAGAUUUCAUGAGAGCAGAGUAGAGGGGGAGAGAACCUUCUCCCUCGCCCUGCUGGCUACGUUUCUUUUGAUGCAGCCCAGAAUACAGGUGGCUUCCUGGGCUGCAUGUGCGCAUUGUUGGCUCAUGUCCAGCUUUUCAUCCAUCAGUACCCCCAAGUCCUUCUCCGCAGGGCUGCUCACAAUCACAGCAUCCUCCAGCCUGUAUUGAAACCAAGGAUUUCCCUGACAGAAAGUGACAAUAGCACAGACAGACAGUAGCUGUAACUGUAUUAAAUGUGUCGGUACAAAAUUAACAAAAUUUUUAAGGAAGUUUUAACUUCACAGCAUGAGUUACAGCUGGGUCUGUAUCUGGGUUAGAGGGUUAGGGCAUAUCUGCUCGAUUGUUAAGCCACAGUCAGAGACAAGGAGGGUGAACAGUAUCUUCUGUAGUUACUAAAAAUGGAAAACACUCUGCCACUGGUGCGUUCUUCUCAGUGAAACAGCCAGAGCUAAUUGAAAUCUGCUCUUGGAGCUGAUCCAACUAUCAUCUAUCUAAAUGUUCAGUCUUCAAAAAGAUUCUGCGUUGUUGCGCAGUGAUGGCAAAGAACAACAUCAAACUGCCAACAUGUAUUAACAGGGAGAUUUAAAGAAGACAGGCAUUGGUGUAACUGUACUUUGUUGAGCUGAGCACGAGUAGAGUUGUUGUCUGCUUGGAUCGUUUAACUGGCCUUAAACCAAAAUAUAUACUUAAUAUUCAACAGCCACCUAUGCCCAGCAAUGACAGGGUCCUCCAGUGAUACGUUAACUAUGUCAAUGAACUAUUAGCUAAAUAGUAGCUGGGCUUUUCUGGUUAAAAGAAAACUAGACCUUCAUUAAAUUCUAAGACAAGUGUAAAAAAAAAAUGUUUCUUUCAUUCUGUGUUCUGGUUAUCUGCCACCUUAACCUGGAUAAUAUGAAUCUGCUAACUUAUUGACUUAACUAAAAUUGCAACCUAAAUCAUCUGAAAUAUAGAGCGCUGCUUUGGUUUUAAUCAGUUUUGUGAAACUGUAAGUAAAUUAGGUAAGUAAUGUGCUUUGUGAGAUUCAUGUUUGUGCUCCCGCCUUCAUGUUUGUGCUCCUGUUUGGAUGAUGCAAUCCAAACACAGGGCACAAGAUGUGUUUACUUCACUAAACUGCAACCUGGGUCACAAGCUCUGAGGGCGCACAGAAGUUCUGGUGUGAAGUCGCCAGCCUCUUGUGUCUGACUCCAAAGUCACUGCCUAUAUCCCUUACAUUACACAAGCUGUAACAUCCUCAAUAAUGAUGAUCGUGACAAGUCAUCUGUCCUGCCAUGUUAAGAAUGUAGGCGUUUAUAAAUUAAAAAUAUGCUUAUGCACUGUGGAUUUACUAUGUAAAUCAACCGAAGGCACACAACUGCCAAAUACAUUCACCUAUAAUGAGCACCUACCUGGAUAUACAGCAGGCUGGAAACAAGACAAAGCAGGGAUCGUGUAGAUCAUCUCACCCACAGCUGCAGAGUAGAGCAGCCUAGCCAAGGGGCCUCCUUUUACAGCCUGCAGGGGUAGUACACCUCCAGCGCAUUUUUACUAUAUAUACUGUUCCCUGAAAUGUUAUAUAUCAUAAAAAACCUUGGGUGUCGGCUGGCACCAGGAAGGAAGGCUGCCUCUGUCUUGUCUUGGAUGCCGUAGCCAUGGUUGGACCCAGGGAAGUGGACGAGAAGCCUUUCUUUGGUGCAGCUAAUGGUGACCCAUUUUCAGAGCGGGAUGGGACAGAGAGAAGUCUCUGAAAGAAAUGACCUGCCCUACAAGAAGUUAAUUUAGAAACUUUCUGUUUCUGUUUUGCCUCACAUGAAGUAUUCUCUAUUUUUUUAAUGUAUUCCUUAAUGCUUUAACAAAUCUGAUUUCUGAAGUUAAGAGCUUUGUGGUUUGGGACAUUUGUUUCAAGGGGAAACUGGAGGCAGGUCCACCUCAAAGAUGUGCUGACUCCACCAGAGUGCUUAGAUCAUUAAGAAUGCUUAUUACCUCCAAAAUGAGGAUGUGCCUUGAAGGAUUAUAAUAAGAAUUCCUUAGUUAAUUGCCGAAAAUGGUAUUCCCUUGCCCUCUGCUCAGUGUAUUCAUCUACACACUCACAAGGCAAGAGUGAAUUGCAGAACAUAUUGAUUUACAUUUAAACUCAUUCAUAUACUUUGGCCUGGAAGCAUGGAGUUGCUCUCCCAAUCAUUCAUAUUUACAUAAGCUGAGUACAGAGGUAAAAAGUAAUAAAAGAGCAAGGCAAAGGAGAAAGACUCAACAAGAACCUCAGCAAAGCUAAGUUCUUGGGCUGUAUUAAUCAGAUUUUUGCCCUUUUAAAUUCUUGUGUCUUUGUCAAGUUUGCAGCACAGGGCUCUUUAUUACAGAUGCAAAGCCUGAACAAAGCACAUUUGCUGCCCCUCUGCAUAUAGAUGUGCUAAUGUGUAACUUUUGCCAUGUUUCAUAUAGUGUGAAUGAAACAAAUAGGUACUUGUGUCCUUAUUCAAGUGAUGGAAACAGCAACGGGGAAAAGGACAAUUUAGAAUUUCUGCUAACAGGAACACAAACCAGAUAGAAAGAACCUCACAAGAUUUUAUUUGAGCAACCUACUAGUGUGCCUGCUUACUGAUGUGUAUUGUGUCAGUUCUCCCAAGUAACAAGUGAUAGGACAAGAGGAAAUGGUCUCAAGCUGUGCCGAGGAGGUUCAGACUGGAAAUCAGGAAAAAUUUCUAUACUAAAGAGUGGUGAAGCAUUGGAAGAAGCUGCCCAGGGAAGUGGUAGAUUCCACAUCCCUGGAGGGGUUCUAAAUGAGUGUAGCUGUGGCACUUCAGGACAUGGUUUAGUAGGCACGGUGGUGUUGGGCUGACAGUUGGAAUGGAUGAUCUUGAAGGUCUUUUCCAACCUGUAUAAUUCUACGAGUUCACCAGUGCAUUGGCAUGGAUAUAUUCUGGUUAUCUGCCAUAUUAACUUGGUAACUAGAUAAUUUGAAUCUGCUAUUUUAUUGACUUAACGGAAAUUGCAGCCUAAAUUACAUGAAAUAUAGAGCAUUUAGAUAUACAUAUGGAAUAUUAAUUUUUAUUACGGGGCUCCAUUCUGUCUCCUUUCACAGCAGUGAAGUAGUUAGACAUAAAAAUAUACAACUUCCACCCUUGGUCUAAAUGUAUUUAAAAUUAUGCCAAGCAACCCCAAAUGGGUAUUGUCUCAUACAAACCGAAAUCAAAGCAAGAACUGGUCAUGACCAGGCUCGUAACUUGUCCUGAUUUCUCUCUCACUCGGCACAUCUCCAAACACUGAGUCUCCUGGUACAGUCUAAUUUACCAGGUGCUCUCAAUGUAAAGGGAACAGUUUGGUAAUUCAUUAUUGAUUGUUUAUGAUUGAAAAUAUUUACUGUAAAUACUUUUUGGACAAAGAGAGUGCUGCAAACACGGGGAUAUUAGGCAGCUGUAUAUUCCUACGGCGUGCAGAUGAAGUGUAAUUGCAGUUUUUUGCCUUCUAGCAACUCAGGCAAAGGGAUUGUAAAAGCUCUUGGGAAUUAGUCCAGGACUUUUAUGAUGGUCUUGAAGAAGAACAUUGUGAGUACUUCUUUAAACAUCUCUUAGGUUAGCCAGGGAAUUGUUUUACUGUAGUGCCUACAGAGUCCUUAAAAAGAUUACACUUCUGUUGAGCAUUCCUGGAGCUCAGCUGGGAAGGCAAGAACUCCAGGCAGCACCAGGAUGUGAAGAAGUCAUUGUGCUUUUCUCAUUAUGACUUGCAGCCUUGGGGAGCAUGCUGUCAGGCACAGGGCCACUCAAUCAAGGCCAUAUUCUAUGUCCUCUCCAUGUCCCCUACACCAAGUGCCACCGUUGCACAGACAUGAGCAGUGUCUAUCCAGACCACCAAUGAAGGAGGUGCUGGUUCACCUGGCCCUUGUGCAGGAGCUCUCAGGCAAGGUCUGCAAGGGUGUCAUACCUUCACAUGCCCAAAAGCAUGUGAACAUAUAGAAUCCUAGAACGGUUUGGGUCAGGAGGAACCUUAAAGCCCAUCCAGUUCCAAUGUCCCUGGCAUUGGUGGGGACACCUGCCACUGGAUCAGGUUGCUCAAAGCCUCAUCCAACCUGGCCUUGAAAACCUCCAAUGAUGGGACAUCCACCACUUCUCUGGGCAACCUGUGCCAGUACUUCCCUACCCUCACAGGAAAAAAUUUCUUCCCAAAUAGCUCAUGUAAAUCUUCCCUCUUUUCACCUUAAAACCAUUCCCCCUUAUCCUAUCCCUGCACUCCCUGAUAAAGAGCCCUGCUCCAUCUUCCCUGUAGGCCCAUUUUAAGCACUGGAAGGCUGCUAUAAGAUGUCCCUGUAGCCUUCUCUCCAGGCUGAACAAGCCAAACUCUCUCAGCUUGUCCUUGUAUGAGAGGUGCUCCAGCAUCUUUGUGGCUUCCUCUGGACUCGCCCCAAAAGAUCCAUGUCCUUCCUGUACUGAGGACUUUCAGAACUGGAUGCAGGACUCCCAAGGAGGUCUCAUGAGAGCAGCAGAGAGGGCCAGAAUCCCUUGCCUCAGCCUGCUGGCCCAACUGCUUUGGAUGCAGCCCAGGAUACAGUUGGCUUUCUGGGCUGCAAGUGCACAUUGCCAGCACAUGUUGAGCUUCUCAUCCACAUAUCAGAUCCUCUUCACUACCAACACUCCACACAGCAAUCUUUAUUAUCAAAACAUAAAGAGUCCCUUCCCAGCUUUCCUGUAGGCCCCCUUUAAGUACUGCAAUAAUGUCUUCCUGGAUGCUCCAUCCCACCUAUCCCCCAGGCACUCUCUACCUCCUCAAAACCUUUGCAGCACAGCCAAGGUGGGUUUCCUCUUCAUUUAUUGAAUUAAUCACUCUGCUACAACCAAAAUAGGAUGGUUUUUUUCCAAGAACUGUGCAUGGUGGCAUGUGUAUGCAACUAUGAAGCUUUGGGGAUCCUCUGGAGAUUGAUGCAGGCAGGAUAUUCCAGCUUGGAAGUCCUCAAGAGCAACAUAAAAGGCACAUAUUUGUGUCCUUCUGUUUAUUCUGGCCCUCAAUAAGAUGAAGCUAUGGGUCAUAUGCUUAAUAUUAAAUUGACUAACUGGGUCACUUGGUUUCUCUUUAAUUCUUUUAAUCUUCUUACAAGAUACAAACCAGGCUUAAGUUAAAACCUGUUCCUUACUGUAAAGGGCUGAGGGGGACAGUUGAUCACUUGGCUGUUAUGUAUGUGAUAAUGCCGGCUGUCUCCUCGAAAGGCUGCGUUCCUGCUGCUGCUUUCCCCAGCAGGUUUAUGCCUCCUUACUCAAUAAGAUUCCUGGGAAUCAAUUAUAGCAGUAGGAAGAUAUAGACUGUAGUUAAGCUUUCCAGCCCACACACAGUAACAGGAAAAUCCUGUUUGAAGAAUCGGGCAAGAGUGUAUUCUGUAUAACGAGAGACAAUGUGCCGAUAAUGCUGCAGUCUCCCCAGCUUCAACAUGGUUACUCAAGUUGUAACUGGCUACAGAGUCUGGCCCGCUAUGGGUCUUUAUAUUUUUUACAUUCUUUUAUACAAGAGGGCUUUCCAGGGUGGGAUAAGGAUUUCUUGGAAGCAUUUCUGCAGCUGAGCUAGCAACAAUUUUAUUUAAUGACCACACAUACAAGAGUCGCUGCAAAAUUAAUUGUUUUCUGACCCACACAUGGGUUUUCUUGUUCAGACUGAAAAUUAGAGAGGAGAAAGAUGUGUUGAUAGGGAGAUGCACAGCAGCGUGAGCCAUACAACAUGGGAGUGGGAAAAGAGAGGGUACCUGUUGUAGCCUCUACUCAAGGUUCUGCAAGUGCUAACGUUGCUGGCACACAGCUGUGUUAAAAAAGUAAGAGUUUAAACACUAUGCUGAGACCAGAAUUGCUCUUCUCAAGAGAAAUGCUGGAAGAGUUUUGUGACACACUACAAACAAGAAGAUUUUUCACCACAAUAGGAAGUUACCAUUGGUCUGGUAGUGUAAGCUGAAUCCCAAAAUUGGCACUUCCAGGCAAGUGAGAAGAGAUUUUUAGCCAAGAAUCACAAUGUUUCUUCCUAGAAUAGUGCAGGAGGAACACUAUCAAAUUAAAUUCAUGGAGCUUCCUUUCAAUCUUACCGAAGAACUGGAAAGAUCACCACCCAUCUUAUCUACUGACUGCAGGGAAAACUACUUUGCAUCUCACAGUCAAACCACGCAUUUUCUGGGGGAUAGUGAACUUUUGUUAAAGAAAAUAUGAAGCUUUGCUUUUAAUUAAAAAAACCCCAUACAAAUAUAUAUAUUUUUGAAAUCCCUUGCAAACCUUUGUCAACAUUUAAUUUUCUUUUUUUCCCACAGUAAGUAAUAAAGACGUUAGCAAUUGGCAACAUAAAUUUAUCUGAAAAAGGUCUUACCAAACCAGCAGAAAUCCUUGUAUAGGUAAGAAGCCACUUGGAGAUGGAAAAAGCAAAAAGCACUAAAGAUGACCACUUCAGUAGGGUUUUCAUCUCAUAUAACAGUCCCAUAAGCAAAGCAGCUGAAAUUUCUAGAGUUGGUGCAAAACCAUUUGUGUUAAGAGUUCCCUGAAAAUAUUCAUCAGUGAUUCACAAGCAGAACAGAGUGAUGCAUCUGCAAAGGUCUGAGUCAGGUCUGCUUCCCUAAACAUUUUAAGGAACAGAUCUUCCUUUUUUGGAGCUUGGGUUUCACACUGCCUUUUUUUCCUAAGUGGUUUUUACAGCGUUAGUGCAAAGAUCAGAAGCUUUUAUGCAGUCAUAUUAAAUACAAACACAAUUUAAAGAUGAUUUCACUACAUGGAACUUGCAAGGUUCUCGGGCAUUUGACUCGCUAAAGUCAUGUGAGAACUUGGCUCACUUAAGCACUGCUGUGGACUAUCCCAUCUAUCCCGUAACUGUUGACAUAUUCCACAUAUUCCUUGACAUCCAUCCCAUAUUCACUGAAAAUAGUGGUAAAAGUGGAUGUUAUUGAUGCUGAAGGAAAAGUUGAACUCCCAGAUUGGAACAGCAGAAGCACGGUUGAGAGGGAGAUGGAUUAAAUACUGACUGAUGGUUUGCAUAGACGGGACUAGUCAGAGCGAUGGGAGUUCACAACUCCUACAGAGGGAAUCCUCUUAAAUUUGUGUGUAGAAAAGGUAUUUUAGUAGUUAUACAGCUUAACAUCAAGUUUUAACAAGCAGUUCUAGCACCAUGCAUAAAAAGCCUAAAUGUUGCAAGGUUACCCAGUGAUAUCUCUGCCAAUGGCCACUGCUGCUACUGGUAGAGACAGCCAAGCAGAUCCCAAACACCAGAGGAUCUUUUCCAGAUUAAUUCCAUAGCGCUCCAUGACUGCGUGCUUUAUCAGUCAGGAAGCCAGCUGCCUCCUUGAUGGAUGUACUGCAGCAGGGAAAACUGGUCAAGUGAUUUUAGUUAAUCAGAGUCCCUCCCAUUAUCUUUCUGAAAAACAGCUAACAGAGCAGGUUGCUGGUGUUGCCUCUCUCCAAGACAAUGUAGGCUCCCAAGCAAAAUGUUUUGAAACUACCAUAUGCUGUAGUAAACAUGUGUGACUCUCAGACAUGAGUUCCAGCUAAUCAUGGCUGCUUUCCUUUGAGCCGCCAGUCUGCUCAUAGGGAAGUCACAGAGAACAAGCCAGCAUAAGUGUGAAUUAUUUAUGUUCCUGCUGUAAGCACAAGUCCUGCCACUAGAGACUUACUUGAUCGAGUGGAUCUGUAGAGACAGUUUCUGUAGCAACCCAGAACUUUGCCCACCAAAAUGUCAUCCAGUCACAAAUAACACAGAACAGGAAUAAACAUCUGCCUGCGUAGUUCGUAGUAUCAUAGUAUAGCAUAGUCAGGGUUGGAAGGGACCUUAAAGAUCAUCUAGUUCCAACCCCCCGGCCAUGGGCAGGGACAUCCCACAAGAUCAGGCUGCCCAAGGCCCCAUCCAACCUGGCCUUGACACCUCCAGGGAUGGGGCAGCCACGACGUUCCCGGGCAACCUGUUCCAGUGUCUCACCACUCUCACAGUGAAGAAAUUCUUCCUAAUGUCCGGUCUAAAUCUGCCCCUUUCCAGUUUAUACCCAUUCCCCCUGGUCCUAUCCCCACAAGCCUUUAUGAAUAACCCCUCUCCAGCUUCCCUGUAGGCCCCCUUCAGGUACUGGAAGGUCGCUAUAAGAUCUCCUCAGAGCCUUCUCCAGUCUCAACAGGCCCAACUCUCUCAGCCUGUCCUCGUAGGGAAGGUGUUCCAGUCCUCUGAUCAUCUUUGUAGCCCUGCUCUGGACCUGUUCAAACAGCUCCAUAUCCUUCUUAUGCUGAUGAUUCCAGAACUGGACACAGUAUUCCAGAUAAGGUCUCACAAGAGAGGCACAGAGGGGCAGAAUCACUUCCCUCAACCUGCUGGUCACACUUCUUUUGAUGCAGCCCAGGAUACAGUUGGCCUUCUGGGCUGCGAGUGCACAUUGCUGGCUCAUGUCGAGCUUCUCAUCAACCAGCAGCCCCAAGUCCUUCUCUGCAGGGCUGCUCUCAAUUACAUCAUCCCCCAUUGUGUACUGAAAUUGGGGAUUGCCCCAACCUAGGUGUAGGACCUUGCACUUGUCCUUGUUGAACCUCAUGAGGUUCUCAGAGGCCCACUUCUCCAGCCUGUCCAUGUCCCUCUGGAUAACAUCCGUCCUUCCGGUGUGGCAACUACACCAUUCAGCUUGGUGUCAUCCACAAACCUGCUGAGGGUGCACUCAAUCUCACUGUCAAUAUAAUUCAUAAAGAUAUUAAACAGCACUAGUCCCUGUACGGACCCCUGAGGGACAUCACUUGUCGCGGAUCUCCAUUUGGACAUUGAGCCAUUGACCACUACUCUCUGAAUACGACCAUCCAACUAGUUUCUUAUCCACCUUACCACCCACCCAUCAAAUCCAUAUCUCUCCAAUUUAGAGAGAAGGAUGUUGUGAGGGACCGUGUCAAAGGCUUUACAGAAUUUUAGAUAGAUCGCAUCUGUUCGUUUACCGUGUCCACUGCUGUGGUUACCCCAUCAUAGAAAGCCACCAAGUUAGUCAGACAGGACUUGCCCCUGGUGAAGCCAUGCUGGCUGCCAUUCAUCAUUUCCUGCCCUCCACGUGCUUUAGCAUAGCUUCCAGAAGGAUCUGUUCCAUGAUCUUCCCAGGCACAGAGGUGAGGCUGACAGGUCGGUAGUUCUCAGGGUCGUCUUUUCUGCCCCUUUUAAAAAUGGGUACAAUGUUACCCUUCUUCCAGUCACCAGGGGCUUCUCCUGACUGCCAUGACUUUUCAAAUAUCAUGGAGAGCAGCUUGGCAACCACAUCUGUCAAUUCCCUCAGGACUCUAGGAUGCAUCUCAUCAGGUCUCAUAGACUCAUAUAUGUUCAGGUUCCUCGGGUGUUCACGAACCUGAUCCUCCUCUACUAUGGGAGGGGGUCUACCCCCCUGGUCACCAUCUUGCUGUCCCAUGAC